CUCAGGAUGAACGCUGGCGGCGUGCCUAACACAUGCAAGUCGAACGAAGCGCUUUUCCCGAAUUUUCGGAGGAGGGGAGAGUGACUGAGUGGCGGACGGGUGAGUAACGCGUGGGGAACCUGCCCUGUACCGGGGGAUAACAGCCGGAAACGGCUGCUAAUACCGCAUAAGCGCACAGUGCCGCAUGGCACGGUGUGAAAAACCACGGUGGUACAGGAUGGCCCCGCGUCUGAUUAGUUGGUUGGCAGGGUAACGGCCUACCAAGACGGCGAUCAGUAGCCGGCCUGAGAGGGUGAACGGCCACACUGGGACUGAGACACGGCCCAGACUCCUGCGGGAGGCAGCAGUGGGGAAUAUUGCACAAUGGGGGAAACCCUGAUGCAGCGACGCCGCGUGAGCGAGGAAGUAUUUCGGUAUGUAAAGCUCUGUCAGCAGGGAAGAAGAAUGACGGUACCUGAAGAAGAAGCACCGGCUAAAUACGUGCCAGCAGCCGCGGUAAUACGUAUGGUGCAAGCGUUAUCCGGAUUUACUGGGUGUAAAGGGAGCGCAGGCGGUUCUGCAAGUCUGAUGUGAAAGCCCGGGGCUCAACCGCGGGA
rnacentral:rRNA from 1 species